AGAUGUGAAAGACUAUGAGAAAACUAGGAACCCAAACUCAAGGCCUCUCAAGGUUGCAGCAUGUUGUAAACACUUUGCAACUUAUGACGUCGAUAAUUGGAAGGGGGUUAACGGCUUCCAUUUUGAUGCAGAGGUAUGGAUCUAGAUUGUGGAGAAUUCUACCCAAAAUAUGCGACACAAGCAGUGAAGCAAGGGAAGGUGGCAGAGGCUGAAAUUGAUGCAUCUCUAAAGAACCUUUUCAUUGUUUUGUUGAGACUUGGGUGGUUUGAUGAUAACCCUGGUGGGUACUCAAGACUAGGGAAGAACAACAUAUGUUCUCCGGCACAUCUUGAGCUCUCGGCUGAUGCUGCAAGACAGGGGAUUGUCUUACUAAAAAAUGAUAAGAACACUUUGCCAUUGAUCGUUGACACCGGACAGCCCAAGUUCACCGUUGUUGGACCCAUGUAAAUUCUACUAGUGCAAUGAUUGGUUACUAUGCAUGUAAGUAGAUGUUUCAAUAUAUUCAUUUCUUUUCUUUUCCUUUCU